rnacentral:misc_RNA from 1 species
GAUGAAGAACGCAGCGAAAUGCGAUACGUAAUGUGAAUUGCAGAAUUCAGUGAAUCAUCGAAUCUUUGAACGCACAUUGCGCCCGCCAGUAUUCUGGCGGGCAUGCCUGUCCGAGCGUCAUUUCAACCCUCGAACCCCUCCGGGGGUCCGGCGUUGGGGAUCGGGAACCCCUAAGACGGGAUCCCGGCCCCGAAAUACAGUGGCGGUCUCGCCGCAGCCUCUCAUGCGCAGUAGUUUGCACAACUCGCACCGGGAGCGCGGCGCGUCCACGUCCGUAAAACACCCAACUUCUGAAAUGUUGACCUCGGAUCAGGUAGGAAUACCCGCUGAACUUAAGCAUAUCAAUAAGCGGAGGA